rnacentral:rRNA from 1 species
CGGCGGACGGGUGAGUAACGCGUGGGUAACCUACCCUGUACACACGGAUAACAUACCGAAAGGUAUGCUAAUACGGGAUAACAUAUUUGAGAGGCAUCUCUUGAAUAUCAAAGGUGAGCCAGUACAGGAUGGACCCGCGUCUGAUUAGCUAGUUGGUAAGGUAACGGCUUACCAAGGCGACGAUCAGUAGCCGACCUGAGAGGGUGAUCGGCCACAUUGGAACUGAGACACGGUCCAA